CCCGGUCCACUAUACACGGUAGAAAAAACGGUUUGUAGAGUAGACGCCCUAGCCUUGCUAAGCAAGGCUAGGCUUGCUGAUAAGACUCCUGUCGGUGCAUUAAAUGCACUGCGCCCACCGUCUUGUCCUGUCUUCACUGUUCUAUGGGCCCUGCCGGCAUGCCCGAGCGUGGGGUGCUGGGGUGCCCCUUCCUGGCUAGCGCACCCGGCUAGUUGCCGGGGAGGCGUUCCUUCCACUUCCCGGGACCUGAGUUCCCGGACGCUUCUUCUGUUCCGGCCCUUGGCUUUGCCUUCACCAAGAACCGUCUCCUCGAGGCAGGCCUCCCGGACCUAUCGUUUCCCGGGAGGCCAACCUGUUGGGGCUUUGUCACUGAUG
rnacentral:lncRNA from 1 species